AUAAAGUUUUGCUAAUGCUCGCAAGCAAUUGCUUUUGUGUCGGAGUAAAAGCUAUAUGCCGUUGCGGAUAUAAGUAGCUUUUUUAACUUUUAAUAUUUAAAAAUGGCUUCUUCAAACCAGAUUUCAAUUGAAUCAAGUGAAAAUAAUAUAGCUAGCCAAAGUUUUAACAAAUGUGAAGGUAAAGUUUUUAUAAACAUACUGUGCGAAUAGCCAAUACUUCUACAAAAAAGCCAAGUUCCAAACGUUAAAAUAAAGAAAAACAAAGCAUUUUUAAAAAUGCAAGACCAAAUGUUCCAAGCAACAGGAACAAAAAUUGAUACAUAAACAUUGGCGAAAAAGAUUGCCAACAUAAAGACAAGGUUAAAAAAAAAGUCUGACAUCCAUCGAACUGGAAACAAGCCUAUAAAACUUUCAGCGAGUGAAGUCAAACUUGCUAAUCUUUUAGAUACAGAAAAGAAUCCUACCUUCACACAAAUUGAUGGGAACACAUCUUCUCAAGCAUCGAGGUCAAUUCCAAAAAGAUUAAAACUACCUGGUGAAACUAAAGAAACAACAAAAUGGACGAAUACAGAGCUUCAGCGUGUGGUCAUGCUGGAGCAGCUAAAAUAAUAUUGGUUAAAAAAUUUAAAGUUGAAAUAUACUACACCCCAACAUGUAUUAAAUGAAGAGGAGAUAGAUAUUGUUGUUGAUAUAAACGUUGAUGGAAACAAAACAUAAAAACGUGAAAAUAAA